CCCUUAGAUGUCCGGGGCCGCACGCGCGCUACACUGAAGGAAUCAGCGUGGCUUUCUCCCUGACCCGAAAGGGUUGGGAAACCCGUUGAAUCUCUUUCGUGAUAGGGAUUGGGGCUUGAAAUUGUUCCCCAUGAACGAGGAAUUCCCAGUAAGCGCGAGUCAUAAGCUCGCGUUGAUUACGUCCCUGCCCUUUGUACACACCGCCCGUCGCUACUACCGAUUGAACGGUUUAGUGAGGGCCUCGGAUUGGUCUCGGCCCGCUCUUUACCGGGCGGCGCCGUUGGUCGAGAAGACGCUCGAACUUGAUCGUUUAGAGGAAGUAAAAGUCGUAACA
rnacentral:rRNA from 1 species